rnacentral:rRNA from 1 species
AUUGAACGCUGGCGGCAGGCCUAACACAUGCAAGUCGAGCGGAUGACGGGAGCUUGCUCCUUGAUUCAGCGGCGGACGGGUGAGUAAUGCCUAGGAAUCUGCCUGGUAGUGGGGGACAACGUUUCGAUAGGAACGCUAAUACCGCAUACGUCCUACGGGAGAAAGCAGGGGACCUCCGGGCCUUGCGCUAUCAGAUGAGCCUAGGUCGGAUUAGCUAGUUGGUGGGGUAAUGGCUCACCAAGGCGACGAUCCGUAACUGGUCUGAGAGGAUGAUCAGUCACACUGGAACUGAGAUACGGUCCAGACUCCUACGGGAGGCAGCAGUGGGGAAUAUUGGACAAUGGGCGAAAGCCUGAUCCAGCCAUGCCGCGUGUGUGAAGAAGGUCUUCGGAUUGUAAAGCACUUUAAGUUGGGAGGAAGGGUUGUAGAUUAAUACUCUGCAAUUUUGACGUUACCGACAGAAUAAGCACCGGCUAACUCUGUGCCAGCCGCCGCUGUAA